UUACUCAUCGAACUGAGGCCUUUUAAGGCAACAAGGCGUUGUUCUAAAGUACUGCUCAGAAAGAUUGAACAUCUAUUGUUUGUAUAUAUAUUUGAUCCUUGUCCAGUCAAUUAGAUGAUUAUCCAGUCAAUGUGAACCUUAUGCAGUCUAGUUGCUAUAUAUUUAAGUUAGAACAUCUCUUAUUGAUAUAUAUUUGACAUUUGAUCCAUGAACAGUGUUAAUCAACAGAUAGUUUUUACAUUCAAAAUGCCAGAACACCAAUAGUAAACAAGAGAGGAAUGAAAAUCUACCAGAACACCAAUAGUAAACAAGAGAGGAAUGAAAUAAUUGUACAUUUUACCUUUAUUGUCUGCGGAGGUGCAAUUGAUUGUCUUGUGUUUGAUGGAAAAAAUCACACCCUGUUUGUAGAAUACCUCAUUUAGGUUAUAAUGGAAAAUUGGAAUGAGGU